rnacentral:RNase_P_RNA from 1 species
GAAGUGGGUUGUUCUAUCGCCGUGGGUCGUAAAGGCCGAUGGAGGAAAGUCCGGGCAACGCAGAGCACCAUGCUUCCUAACAGGAAGAUACUCGUGAGAGUAUAGUAGUGUAACAGAAAAUAACCGUCUCGCUUCGGCGGGAUAAGGGUGAAAAGGUGGGGUAAGAGCCCACCGGUUCUGAUGGUGACAUCAGAAGCCGUACACCUCAUGGGUUGCAAGGCCAUGUAUAUCUCAAUAAUUCGAAUGAAUUGCAGGGCUGCUCGUCCUGUUUUUUUGCCUUGGGCAAAAAAGUUGAGAAGGGUAGGCCGCAUGACCCUGUUGGCAACAGCAGGGCUAGAUAAAUGAUAGAAGUCACGCCCAAAGCGUGAUACAGAACCCGGCUUAUAGACCCGCUUCUUUA